UAGGUCUGAUGCAGACAGCUGAGCAACUGCCUCACCGGCUGAUUCACCUCACUUACCACCGUCAUCGCAAUCUAAUUUAGAAGUCAUGGAACAUUUUGUCCAUCUGGUCAGAGAGGUGGCUAAUAUUGUUGGACUUUUUUUCCCACAAAAGUAAAUGUUCCAUCUCUUUCAUUCUGGAAUGGAAUGUGAAACUUCAGUUUCUGAGAACUGUCACCACCGAUGGAGGGAGUUUGUGUGAGAAGAACUCGCCAAAAAAGUUAAGAGAGGUAAGAUUUAUUAGAGGGAUACACUGCUAGGAAGCAGCAGGGGCAUGAAAAAGACAUCUGCCCCUGCAUUCUGGAUUUGCACCUCAGCUACUUUCCACCACUUCCUGCCUCUGUGACCUUGGGCCUACAGAAUCAAAAACUAAGUGGUGGGAGCCCAGCACUCUGUGUUUUAACAAUCCUCCAAAGGAUUCUGAUGUACACUGAAGUUCAGGACCCCUGGACCUGUUGGGUCACUAUAAUAAGGACAAGCAAGCCAUCAGGAGUCUAGGUAAGCAUCUGGCAUCAGAGGGCUUACCAAACAGUGAAGAAUUCAA